AUGAACGCUGGCGGCGUGCCUAAUACAUGCAAGUCGAGCGAACAGACGAGGAGCUUGCUCCUCUGACGUUAGCGGCGGACGGGUGAGUAACACGUGGAUAACCUACCUAUAAGACUGGGAUAACUUCGGGAAACCGGAGCUAAUACCGGAUAAUAUAUUGAACCGCAUGGUUCAAUAGUGAAAGACGGUUUUGCUGUCACUUAUAGAUGGAUCCGCGCCGCAUUAGCUAGUUGGUAAGGUAACGGCUUACCAAGGCAACGAUGCGUAGCCGACCUGAGAGGGUGAUCGGCCACACUGGAACUGAGACGCGGUCCAGACUCCUACGGGAGGCAGCAGUAGGGAAUCUUCCGCAAUGGGCGAAAGCCUGACGGAGCAACGCCGCGUGAGUGAUGAAGGUCUUCGGAUCGUAAAACUCUGUUAUUAGGGAAGAACAAAUGUGUAAGUAACUAUGCACGUCUUGACGGUACCUAAUCAGAAAGCCACGGCUAACUACGUG
rnacentral:rRNA from 1 species